rnacentral:rRNA from 1 species
CAGCAGCCGCGGGAAUACGAAGGGUGCAAGCGUUAAUCGGAAUUACUGGGCGUAAAGCGCGCGUAGGUGGUUUGGUAAGAUGGAUGUGAAAUCCCCGGGCUCAACCUGGGAACUGCAUCCAUAACUGCCUGACUAGAGUACGGUAGAGGGUGGUGGAAUUUCCUGUGUAGCGGUGAAAUGCGUAGAUAUAGGAAGGAACACCAGUGGCGAAGGCGACCACCUGGACUGAUACUGACACUGAGGUGCGAAAGCGUGGGGAGCAAACAGGAUUAGAUACCCCUGUAGUCCCUGUCUCUUAUAA